rnacentral:rRNA from 1 species
AUUGAACGCUGGCGGCAGGCCUAACACAUGCAAGUCGAGCGGAUGAAGGGAGCUUGCUUCUGGAUUCAGCGGCGGACGGGGGAGUAAAGCCUAGGAAUCUGCCGGGCAGUGGGGGAGAACGUCCGGAAACGGGUGCUAAUACCGCCUACGUCGUGCGGGAGAAGGUGGGGGGUCUUCGGACCUCACGCUCUCAGAUGGGCCUAGGUCGGAUUAGCUAGUUGGUGGGGUAAGGGCCUACCUAGGCGACGAUCCGUAACUGGUCUGAGAGGAUGGUCAGUCACACUGGAACUGAGACACGGUCAAGACUCCUACGGGAGGCAGCAGUGGGGAAUAUUGGACAGUGGGCGAAAGCAUGAUCCAGCCAUGCGGCGUGUGUGAAGAAGGUCUUCGGAUUGUAAAGCACUUUAAGUUGGGAGGAGGGGCAGUAAGUUAAUACCUUGCGGUUUUGACGGUACCAACAGAAUAAGCACCGGCUAACUUCGUG